rnacentral:rRNA from 1 species
GUAGUCAUAUGCUUGUCUCAAAGAUUAAGCCAUGCAUGUCUAAGUACGCACUGCUGCUCAAAAGUGAAACCGCGAAUGGCUCAUUAAAUCAGUUUUGGUUCCUUGGAAGACGGUCCAUAUUGGAUAUCUGUGGCAACUCUAGAGCUAAUACAUGAUUAUACGCCUCCUCCCUUUUAGGGUCGGCGCGUGCUUUUAUUAGGCAACCGGCCGUGGCCUUCGGGUCGCGGCUCACGUUGUGUUGACUCUGAGUAACUCAAUGCCUACCGCUUAGCCCUCCGUGGCGGCGGAGUUCUUUCAAGUGUCUGCUCUAUCAACUUUCGAUGGUAGGUUACACGCCUACCAUGGUUGUGACGGGUGACGGAGAAUCAGGGUUCGAUUCCGGAGAGGGAGCCUAAGAAACGGCUACCACAUCCAAGGAAGGCAGCAGGCGCGUAAAUUACCCAAUCCCCGUUCGGGGAGGUAGUGACGAAAAAUAACAAUGCGGGGCUAUAUUUAGUCUCCGUGAUUGGAAUGAGACCAAUCUAAAACCUCAGUCGAGGAACGAUCGGAGGGCAAGUCUGGUGCCAGCAGCCGCGGUAAUUCCAGCUCCAAUAGCGUAUAUUAAAGCUGUUGCGGUUAAAAAGCUCGUAGUCAGUACCGGAGCGGCCCGGUGACGUUCGGCAUUGUCGUUCGUCAAAUGCGGGCUGCGACGGGGCGACUGUCCGUCGACGCUCUUCACUGAGUGGCUUCGGGUGGUCGCCAUUUGAUCACUUUGAUUAAAUCAUGGUGUUCAAAGCAGGCCUCGUGUCUUUAUAACAACGCACGGAAUGAUGGAAUACGUUGCUGUUCUGUUUGUCUGGUUUCCAGAGAUGGCAAGAUGUUCAAUAGGAACUCCCCGGAGGUGAACGUAUUGCAGGGCGAGAGGUGAAAUUCGUUGACCCUUGCAAGACGAACUAAAGCGAAAGCAUUCGCCGAGAGUGUUUUCAUUGAUCAAGAACGAAAGUUAGAGGUUCGAAGGCGAUCAGAUACCGCCCUAGUUCUAACCAUAAACGAUGCCAUCCCGCAAUCCGCAGGGUUAAUACCAUGACCUAGCGGGCGGCCCCGGGAAACCAGAGAUGGGUUCCUGGGGAAGUAUGGUUGCAAAUCUGAAACUUAAAGGAAUUGACGGAAGGGCACCACCAGGNGUGGAGNNNNCGGCUNAAUUUGANUCAACNNGGGAAACUUACCCGGCCCGGACACUGUNNNGAUUGACAGAUUGAGAGCUCUUUCUUGAUUCAAUGGAUGGUGGUGCAUGGCCGUUCUUCGUUCGUGGAGUAAUCCGGCUGGUUAAUUCCGAUAACGAACGAGACUCUANCCUACUAACUAGUCGUCAGUGUGGAACACACCCACGUGUACGACUUCUUAGAGGGACAGGGUGCUUUUAGCACCAGGAAGAAGAGCAAUAACAGGUCUGUGAUGCCCUACGAUGUUCGGGGCGGCACGCGUGCUACACUGCGAGAGGAAACAGGGUAACUUGUUCGACAGAACUGGUGAAACCUGUUAAACUCUCGCACGAUUGGGAUUGGGAUUUGCCCACCUCUCCCAUGAACGCGGAAUUCCCAGUAAACGCUGCUCAUCACGCAGUGUUGAUUGAGUCCCUGCCCUUUGUACACACCGCCCGUCGCUACUACCGAUUGGGUGUUUAAGUGAGGUCAGCUGACUGAUCCUCCGUAGAGGCCUUCGGGCCAUCGAUGGAUGGAGCGGAACGCCAGCCGAACUUGAUUACCUAGAGGAAGUAAAAGUCGUAACAAGGUUUCCGUAGGUGAACCUGCGGA